rnacentral:rRNA from 1 species
UACGGAGGGUGCGAGCGUUGUCCGGAAUCACUGGGCGUAAAGGGCGCGUAGGUGGCGCGGGCAGUCAACGGUGAAAGUUCGGGGCUCAACCCUGAAUCGGCCGUCGAUACUCCCGGGCUUGAGCACUGUAGAGGCAGAUGGAAUUCCGGGUGUAGCGGUGGAAUGCGUAGAGAUCCGGAAGAACACCGGUGGCGAAGGCGGUCUGCUGGGGUCGAACUGACGCUGAGGCGCGACAGCGUGGGGAGCAAACAGG